AAGCUUUUGCCUCUUCUUUGGUAAUACAGCUCUAUGAGUUUAGUCGAGCGUCAUAAAGCUAGAUUACCAAAGCAGAACGCAUUGGCGUGUACUUC
rnacentral:pre_miRNA from 1 species